rnacentral:tRNA from 1 species
GCGGGAGUAGCCAAGUAUGGUCAAAGGCGCUGGACUUAAGAUCCGGUCCCGUAGGGGUUCGCGGGUUCAAGACGGUUCUCAGAAUCCUGGAACCGUGAAACUCCCGCCUCCCGCACCA